GGAUGUGAGGGCGAUCUGGCUCUCAUGCCUGUGACCCCACUAAUCACCAGGGUUUAUUUGGCUUGUCUGCUGGCUAGCCCAGUAUCUCCUUCCCUGCCAGCGCUCCAUGUGCAUCCCUCCUGAAGCUGUGUGUUUGGUCGAAGAGAAUGACCGUCCCCGGUAGAGGACUGGUCCUUAGUCAGGGGACAUGAGUAGUUGCACUCCCCUGCUAGAGUCUCCAGAUAGGCUCUCACGGUCCAUUUGUAGGAGAAUAUAGGGUUGUCAAGCUUCCAAACAGACACAUCCAAACAAGGUGCUGCAUGUGGCAGUCUGCCUUUCUAA
rnacentral:snRNA from 1 species